GACGAACGCUGGCGGCGCGCUUAACACAUGCAAGUCGAACGGAAAGGCCUGCUUUCCCUUGUGGAUUGCGGGUACUCGAGUGGCGAACGGGUGAGUAACACGUGAGUGAUCUGCCCCCAACUUGGGUAUAAGCCUGGGAAACUGGGUCUAAUUCCCGAUAGGACUGCAGGGUGGUGCCUGUGGUGGAAAACGAUUUUCUAGUGGUUGGGGAUGAGCUCGCGGCCUAUCAGCUUGUUGGUGGGGUAAUGGCCUACCAAGGCGGCGACGGGUAGCCGGCCUGAGAGGGUGGACGGCCACAUUGGGACUGAGAUACGGCCCAGACUCCUACGGGAGGCAGCAGUGGGGAAUAUUGCACAAUGGGCGGAAGCCUGAUGCAGCGACGCCGCGUGGGGGAUGACGGCCUUCGGGUUGUAGACUCCUUUCGACCGCGAGGAAGCCACCUGGUUGGAAGGGUGGUGACGGUAGUGGUAGAAGAAGCACCGGCUAACUACGUG
rnacentral:rRNA from 1 species